CUUUGAUCAAAAUAUUAAUGUAAUUAAGAUAUUUGAAUAAAAUACCUCAUUAAUUUUAUUAAUCAGAAAAAAAUGUUUAUUACAAUUAAAUAAACACUUAUGCUUUUAAAGAGCAUAUUUUCCCAACAGGUACCGAUAUGUUUCGAAACCAAAUAAUUAUCUUAUAGUUUUGGCUAUCCCAAUCUUCAAGACAAUUAGCAAAUUUCUCAUCAUAUUCAUUGUCAAUAGGUUUUACAAUAUAGUAACAAAACACCAAAGUUUUCAUCCCUUAAGAAACUAAGCAUAGCCUGUGCGCAUAAAAUAUAAUUGUGCCCAUCUAAUAUGGCUUGAAUCGGCGGGGGGACAUCUAAUUUUUCCAUAAUAACAACCAAUGAAAGGAAAAAGAGACAAGAAAUCAAAAAGAAAGCAAACCAGAGAGACACACAGAUCAACCUCUCUCUAAUACCAAGUGAGAGAAUCAAUAGAAAAUCUAUAUUUUACUGUUCUUGUAUGUACAACGCAGGGCAUUUAUAUAAGCUUUACAUGGAGCUUUCAUAGGAACGAAGUAAUAUAAUUAUAGGAAAGAGAUUAUAUAAAUAAUAAAUACAAUUAUACACACAUAUCUUGAGGAUUCUAGAAUCGUGAUCUCGGGAAUUCACAAAAAUCAUAGAGAUUGUUUCCUUUUCGUAACAUCUUCACUCAAAAAAUUCGACGAUGGACUGGAAAUUUUCCAACUCUAUAUGAAGCUCCUCUAUUUUAUUUUUCCAUCUUUAGUUUCUAUUCCAAUUUGAGAACAUAAAUUUGACAAGAUUUGUGUAGAGCAAAGGAUGCUCAACUUGUAAUGUUUGAUUCAUAACUUUGGGAGAUUACCACUUUUCCUUCUUGAAGAUGGAAUGUGCGAUCUUUAUUUUCGGAAAUGAGGAAUUUGUGCUCCCUUGUUUUCAAGCUCCAAGCUCCAAGCAUUUGUUUGGCAUCUGCUCAAAAACACUCAGAUGCUCAAAUUAGUAUUUGGUUCAUAAGAAAAUUCAAGAAUGUAUAAUAUUUUUGAGAUGUUUCCGAGCAAAAAGACUUCGACGUCCUUCUA
rnacentral:lncRNA from 1 species